rnacentral:rRNA from 1 species
AUGGCGUCGCCGUUGUCUGAGAUUCCCGAGGACGUGCUACACCUCAUCAUUGACGGCCUCGUUUCCUCCACUGAUCGGCGUGGCCUCGUCUCCACGGCGUGGUCUGGACUACGCCGGCUCCUCCACUUCUCCGAUGGCUUCGAGGCCGCGCGCCAUGCCCGGCACUCGGCCUCUGCCGAUCGCGCUCGCUUCUGCACCGUGUGUCGUUCGUGGCACUUGGCUAUGAGCAGGCACGUUCCAGCUCCAAGGCAGAUCCCCUGGAUUGUCAUGUCCGAUGGCUCGUUCCUCACACCUUCGGACGCCGGCGGCACCUCGCCCGCGCGCAUCCCCUCCUUGCCCAGGAACGCGAGAUGCGUAGCCUCGGCUGAUAGUUGGCUCCUCCUCGACCGCACGGAUGUCAGGAAGAAGACGCAUAGCUACUUCUUGCAUGAUCCCUUCACCAACACGACUGUGCCGCUCCCAGAGCUUGACGCUGUGAUCGGCCAUGCUUCUGAGCUUUUAGGGGUCCACAAACUACGGAAAGGUGUGUGGUUGCCUAAGCCACAAACUGCUCCCUUCAUCUACAUCGUCGACACUGCAUUUCUUGGAGACAAGCUAUAUGGAAUCACUCACGCCGAGGAUCUUGUCUCUUUUGAUGAGGUCGCCAAUAAUGAGGAACAGAGCAAAGAGGACACCAUAGAGCAACGCCGGAAGAAAACCGGCGAUGACAUGAUUCUUGAAGGCGUUACUGCUUGGUCGAAUGAUGAGGAUGAAGUUAGGGACCAUUGGUACUUAGUCGAGUCAUGUGGAAAACUAUUAAUGGUGAUACGACAAGUUCGAGUGCCCUCCUAUAAUAUCAGCUUCACUCUCAAGGUAGAGGUUUAUGAGGCGGAUGCCUGCAAAGGUGCCCACUGCUGGGUGCCGAUUGUUGGUGGGCUAGGCAGCCAAACGCUUUUCAUCAGCAGAUUCUUCUGCAAGUCUAUUUCAACUUGUGAUGAGGCGGACCAAGAUGCUAUUCAUUUUAUCGACACGGGGGAGAAAUACAACAUGAAGUCACAAACUAUGAGCAAGACACGGAGGGACAUUGAAUACUUUGAGUCCAUGUGGAUCUUUUCUCCCGAGCUAGUGGUUUAA